AAGGGUCCCUGAGAAUAGCAGAUAAAGGCAACGACAAUUACUACAACAGGAGGGGCCAAUGCCUCAAUAUUAAAAACAGAUUCAGGAUGCAGGCACUGGAGAGCAGCAACUUGCAGAAGAGGGAAGGAGGGAGAUGGAUCCCUGGAACCCAGGAAGGACCUGAAGGAAAGAUUGGAACCUGCAGAGAAGGGAAGCAGCGGCGGGUUGCAAGUGUGACCCACACACCCUGAGAAGGGAAGAGGGAGAGGAGAAAAGGAGACUUUAAUACCCUGACCCUGAAGACUGCAGCAAAGUAGACAAAAGCCAAGGAACCUUGGAAUCCACCGGAAACCAGCAGAGACAAGGGGUGGUUCUCUCCCAGAGCCUCAGGAGGGAGUGUGGCCUGCCUGACAUUUUGACCUUGCCCUGUUGGUACUGGUUUUGGAAUUCUGAUCUCCAGAGUCAUGAGAGAAUACAUCUCUGUUGUCAAGCAGCAAGUUUGA